rnacentral:lncRNA from 1 species
GUUCCUCCAAGCUCUUGCCAACUGAGAGACCCUCAACCAUGAUCGCCGUUUUGUGCCUCUUCGCCGUUCUGAUGGGCAACGCCCUCGCCUCGCACUUCCCCGUGCACGGUCUCCCGGCACCCGGCUACUCCGUGCACGGAGCUCCCUUUGCUACGAAUCCCGGCGGUGUGCCCUGGACUCCGACCAUCCACAACGUACCUACCCCGUUCGGCUCCUACUUCACCGGGAUCAGCUAUAGGCACAGGUGGGAAGCUCAACCACCGCGCCUGCACAACGCGUGGGGUCUCUCUCCGUACGGUCUCAACUACGGCUACGGGCUGGAGACCUUCGGAUAUCCGAACCUGUGGAAGUAAUGUUACCAGAUCUGCUGAAGAACCUUCGGAAACUGAACAAGACUGUGCCAAAUGACGACCGGUAUGGGACAGUAUGACAAAGGAUUGUAGUGCUCGUUUUUGACCCUGAUGAUGUCAACAUGAUUGA